GUCCCGGUGACGGUACUCCGGAAGGCAGUGGCUUCGCCGAGGCGGAGUGGCACAAAAGUACGGGGUGACGUACAGAAAUCGAGUUAGGCGUGCAUUUGCGGGACGAGCCUGCAACACAAGGUAAAGUCCUCUAUCCAUUAUAGGCAAUGUCCGUAUACUCGGCACCCACGUAUUGAAAGACGUGUGU
rfam:Desulfobacula toluolica Tol2 complete genome